rnacentral:rRNA from 1 species
UACGUAGGGUGCGAGCGUUGUCCGGAAUUACUGGGCGUAAAGAGCUCGUAGGUGGUUUGUCGCGUCGUCUGUGAAAUUCCGGGGCUUAACCUCGGGCGUGCAGGCGAUACGGGCAAUACUUGAGUGCUGUAGGGGAGACUGGAAUUCCUGGUGUAGCGGUGAAAUGCGCAGAGAUCAGGAGGAAUACCGAAGGCGAAGGCAGUCUUCCAAGCCGUUAUUGACGCUCAACUGCGAAGGUGUGGGUAUCAAACAGGAUUAGAUACCCGUGUA